GGUUGCGUAGUUUAGUGGUUAUAACGCUGCAUUCACACUGCAGAGGUCGUGGGUUCGAUCCCCACCGCGGCCU
rnacentral:tRNA from 1 species